rnacentral:rRNA from 1 species
AUUGAACGCUGGCGGCAGGCUUAACACAUGCAAGUCGAACGGUAGCAGGAGAAUGCUUGCUUUCUUGCUGACGAGGGGCGGGCGGGUGAGUAAUGCUUGGGAAUCUGGCUUAUGGAGGGGGAUAACUACGGGAAACUGUAGCUAAUACCGCGUAAUUUCUUCGGCUUAAAGAAUGGGACUUUUAGCCAUUCGCCAUAAGAUGAGCCCAAGUGGUAUUAGGUAGUUGGUGGGGUGUAGGCCUACCAAGCCGACGAUCUCUAGCUGGUCGGAGAGGAUGACCAGCCACACGGGAACGUGGACACGGUCCAGGCGCCUACGGGAGGCAGCAGUGGGGAAUGUUGCGCAAUGGGGGCAACCCUGACGCAGCCAGGCCGCGUGAAUGAAGGAGGCCUUCGGGUUGUAAAGUUCUUUCGGUGGUGAGGAAGGCUAAUAUGUUAAUAGCAUAUGAGAUUGACGGUAGCCACAGAAGAAGCACCGGCUAACUCCGUG